UCCGCCUGCCUCGGCCUCCCAAGUGCUGGGAUUAAAGGCAUGCGCCACCACACGGGGCUGAUUUUUAGCUUCUUCUGUUGAGAAUCAAGGGCCAACUCCUAUACUUUUUAUGCAGCCUUAUACAAGAUGUGACAGAAUGUUUGUUUUUCUAGCGAUGCAUGUCAGUCUGUAAUUCACUACACAGCCCAGGCCUUAAUGAGAGGACAGAAAAGAGCAUCUGAUUCCCUAGAACUGGAGUUACAGACUUUGUGAGCCGCCACUGUAAGAUCCCAUCUCAAUGUGUUCCUUAGACCCCUAGAAACGAAGCCCAGCAUGGAGUUCUUUGUUCUUUCACCUUCAGCCUAAGAGAAUGA
rnacentral:lncRNA from 1 species